AUGCGGAGGAUGCAAGCGUUAUCCGGAUUUAUUGGGUUUAAAGGGUGCGUAGGCGGAUGAUUAAGCGUGAGGUGAAAUGCCACUGCUCAACAGUGGAACUGCCUCGCGAACUGGUUGUCUUGAAUGCUCCUGCCGUGGGAGGAAUGUGUGGUGUAGCGGUGAAAUGCAUAGAGAUCACACAGAACACCGAUUGCGAAGGCAUCUCACGAAGGGGUGAUUGACGCUGAGGCACGAAAGCGUGGGGAUCAAACAGGAUUAGAUACCCUGGUAGUCCACGCAGUAAACGAUGAUAACUAACCGCUGGGUCGUAGUGAUUCAGUGGCCAAGCGAAAGCGAUAAGUUAUCCACCUGGGGAGUACGACCGCAAGGUUGAAACUCAAAUGAAUUGACGGGG
rnacentral:rRNA from 1 species